rnacentral:rRNA from 1 species
UACGUAGGGAGCAAGCGUUGUCCGGAAUCAUUGGGCGUAAAGCGCGUGUAGGCGGUUACAUAAGUCUGUUGUGAAAGUCGGAGGCUCAACCUUCGAAAGCCGAUGGAUACUGUGUGACUUGAGUACGGAAGAGGAGAGUGGAAUUCCUGGUGUAGCGGUGAAAUGCGCAGAUAUCAAGAGGAACACCUGCGGCGAAGGCGGGUUGC